rnacentral:rRNA from 1 species
AAGCAUCACUAUCUGACCGGCCGGGUUUUCCGUAUUGGGUCGAAGUGGUUGCGUCAAGUUAGUUGCGUUGAACGUUGGCGCUAUCUCGGUGUCGAUUUUAAGGCAUCUGGAUGCGUGACGUUAGAGCAAGACAUUGGGCGAGCCCUGGACAACAUCUCCAAGGCGCCUCUCAAACCGCAGCAGCGGAUUGAGGUGGUAAGGACCCACCUGAUCCCGAGAUUUUUGCACGGCUUCGUGCUGGGCAAUAUCACGGACGACAGGUUGAGAAUGCUCGACGUACAAAUCCGGAGUGCAGUGCGCAAAUGGUUGAGACUUCCUAAUGAUGUGCCUGUUGGAUACUUUCAUUCGAGAAUCAAGGACGGCGGCCUGGCGAUCCCAUCGCUUAGGACGAGUAUACCGGAACUCAUUGUAAAGAGGUACGGGGCGCUCGGCUCUUCGCGGUGGUCUGCUGCUAGAGCUGCCGCCAAAUCCGCAAGGAUUCAGAAGAAGCUCAAAUGGGCCAAUAAGCAACAUAUCAAGUUUUCACUCGAAGACCCUAAGGAUGCCAAUGUGAGAUCUAGCAAACUGUAUUGGCGUGAAAAACUCUAUGCGUCUGUUGAUGGAUUCGAACUCCGCGAGUCGUCACGGACACCCGCGUCCACUAAGUGGAUAAGGGAAAGAUGCUCGGAGUAUACUGGCCGUGAUUACGUGCAGUUCGUGCAUACGCACAUCAACGCGCUCCCGUCGCGCAUUCGCACGACAAGGGGGCGCCGCACUGGUCGUGAGGCCGAGUUGAACUGUCGUGCAGGUUGCACGUUCAGGGAGACUACGGCCCACUGCAUACAACAGUGUUUCCGAACGCACGGCGGUCGUAUUGAGCGCCAUAACGGAAUUGUGAAGUUUCUCGGAGAGCACAUGGUAGCCAAAGGUUGGAGAGUGGAAAUGGAGCCUCGAAUCGUUUGCCUCUCGGGUGCCGUCUGUAAGCCAGAUAUCAUAGCCGUGAGGGACGGCGUCGGGGUCGUUGUGGACGCACAGAUAGUUUCGGGUCAGCGGUCGCUGGAUGACACUCAUCGUGACAAACGUAAUAAAUACGGAUGUCGCGAAGGGUUGCCCCGGUUGAUUGCAGACAGACUGAAUCUGUCCGAUGAAAGUGCGGUUCACUUCACUUCCUGUACGCUAUCCUGGCGAGGUGUCUGGAGUGCAGCGUCAUACAGAUUUCUAAAGCAUAUGAUCGGCAUAAAUGUGUCCCUUUUAGGGUCCUUUCCAGGGUUCGUGUUAAGAGGUAGCCACAUGAACUGGACCAGAUUCAACCAAAUCACCAAUACACGUGUUGAGAGCGCGGAGGGUUCGACACUCCCCCACCCCGCCUAAGGGAUUCUGCCGGGUCCCGACCCCUGGUUGUGCAACCUAGAUAGUACAGGGCACACCCCACAUACAACCACCUAUAGCGAAAUCUCGCCAGGGGGUUUACCAUCUUACCGGUACAAUAGCCUCUGUAGCGGGAUAGUAGCGGUUGUGGGCCUACUGUUUUGGUUCCAAUCUCGUUAAUCCAUAAUGAUUACCCUUAGGGGGACGUCACGGUGUACGAACUGCAUUACUUUUUUUUUAAAGACAGAGCUUGAAAUGAUAGCCAAAUGCCUCGUCAUCUAAUUAGUGACGCGCAUGAAUGGAUUAACGAGAUUCCCACUGUCCCUAUCUACUAUCUAGCGAAACCACAGCCAAGGGAACGGGCUUGGGAGAAUCAGCGGGGAAAGAAGACCCUGUUGAGCUUGACUCUAGUCUGGCAUUGUAAGGAGACAUGAGAGGUGUAGCAUAAGUGGGAGAUCGUUUCGGCGGUCGUCGCUGAAAAACCACUACUUUCAUUGUUUCAUUACUUACUCGGUUGGGCGGAAGCGGUGCGCGGUCGAUUUACUCGGCGGGCGCACGGUGUUUCGUUCCAAGCGUGCAGAGUGGUGGCGUGGCGGCAACGCUCGUCACCGUUUAAACUCCCGCGUGAUCCGGUUCGAGGACACUGCCAGGCGGGGAGUUUGACUGGGGCGGUACAUCUGUCAAAGAAUAACGCAGGUGUCCUAAGGCCAGCUCAGCGAGGACAGAAACCUCGCGUGGAGCAAAAGGGCAAAAGCUGGCUUGAUCCAGAUGUUCAGUACGCAUAGGGACUGCGAAAGCACGGCCUAUCGAUCCUUUAGUAUAAAGAGUUUUUAGCAAGAGGUGCCAGAAAAGUUACCACAGGGAUAACUGGCUUGUGGCAGCCAAGCGUUCAUAGCGACGUUGCUUUUUGAUCCUUCGAUGUCGGCUCUUCCUAUCAUUGCGAAGCAAAAUUCGCCAAGCGUUGGAUUGUUCACCCAUCAAAAGGGAACGUGAGCUGGGUUUAGACCGUCGUGAGACAGGUUAGUUUUACCCUACUGAUGGCGUUGUCGUUGCGAUAGUAAUACUGCUCAGUACGAGAGGAACCGCAGUUUCGGACAUUUGGUUCAUGCACUCGGCCGAGCGGCCGGUGGUGCGAAGCUACCAUCCGCGGGAUUAUGCCUGAACGCCUCUAAGGCCGAAGCCAGCCUAGCCGAAUCCGGCAAGGAUAUGCUCACUGUGGAGCCCCGAGAGUCGGGAGGCUCUAAACAAUGUGACUUUACUAGUCGCGCUUUACAUCGUAAGGUGCGACGUCGAAGCCCAUUUGAAUCGCAGAGAUCGGUGCGGUCGGUUUAACACGUGCACCAUGGCUCUGAAGGUUCGAAUUUACCUCAGUUCGAUGUCGGGGCUCGGAAUAGUCUGUAGACGACUUACGUUCCUGGCGGGGUGUUGUGCUCGGUAGAGCAGCGUCGUGCUG